rnacentral:rRNA from 1 species
UUUAUGGAGAGUUUGAUCCUGGCUCAGGAUGAACGCUGGCGGCGUGCCUAAUACAUGCAAGUCGAGCGAACGGACGAGAAGCUUGCUUCUCUGAUGUUAGCGGCGGACGGGUGAGUAACACGUGGAUAACCUACCUAUAAGACUGGGAUAACUUCGGGAAACCGGAGCUAAUACCGGAUAAUAUUUUGAACCGCAUGGUUCAAAAGUGAAAGACGGUCUUGCUGUCACUUAUAGAUGGAUCCGCGCUGCAUUAGCUAGUUGGUAAGGUAACGGCUUACCAAGGCAACGAUGCAUAGCCGACCUGAGAGGGUGAUCGGCCACACUGGAACUGAGACACGGUCCAGACUCCUACGGGAGGCAGCAGUAGGGAAUCUUCCGCAAUGGGCGAAAGCCUGACGGAGCAACGCCGCGUGAGUGAUGAAGGUCUUCGGAUCGUAAAACUCUGUUAUUAGGGAAGAACAUAUGUGUAAGUAACUGUGCACAUCUUGACGGUACCUAAUCAGAAAGCCACGGCUAACUACGUGCCAGCAGCCGCGGUAAUACGUAGGUGGCAAGCGUUAUCCGGAAUUAUUGGGCGUAAAGCGCGCGUAGGCGGUUUUUUAAGUCUGAUGUGAAAGCCCACGGCUCAACCGUGGAGGGUCAUUGGAAACUGGAAAACUUGAGUGCAGAAGAGGAAAGUGGAAUUCCAUGUGUAGCGGUGAAAUGCGCAGAGAUAUGGAGGAACACCAGUGGCGAAGGCGACUUUCUGGUCUGUAACUGACGCUGAUGUGCGAAAGCGUGGGGAUCAAACAGGAUUAGAUACCCUGGUAGUCCACGCCGUAAACGAUGAGUGCUAAGUGUUAGGGGGUUUCCGCCCCUUAGUGCUGCAGCUAACGCAUUAAGCACUCCGCCUGGGGAGUACGACCGCAAGGUUAAAACUCAAAGGAAUUGACGGGGACCCGCACAAGCGGUGGAGCAUGUGGUUUAAUUCGAAGCAACGCGAAGAACCUUACCAAAUCUUGACAUCCUUUGACAACUCUAGAGAUAGAGCUUUCCCCUUCGGGGGACAAAGUGACAGGUGGUGCAUGGUUGUCGUCAGCUCGUGUCGUGAGAUGUUGGGUUAAGUCCCGCAACGAGCGCAACCCUUAAGCUUAGUUGCCAUCAUUAAGUUGGGCACUCUAAGUUGACUG